rnacentral:rRNA from 1 species
AAUCAACGCUGGCGGCGUGCCUCAGACAUGCAAGUCGAACGAUUAAAGCUCUCUUCGGAGAGUGCAUAAAGUGGCGCACGGGUGAGUAACACGUAAGUAAUCUACCUUCGAGUGGGGAAUAACGUCCGGAAACGGACGCUAAUACCGCAUAAUGCAGCGGCAUCGCAAGAUGACAGUUGUUAAAGGAGCAAUUCGCUUGAAGAGGAGCUUGCGGCAGAUUAGCUAGUUGGUAAGGUAACGGCUUACCAAGGCUACGAUCUGUAACCGGUCUAAGAGGACGGUCGGUCACACUGACACUGAAUAACGGGUCAGACUCCUACGGGAGGCAGCAGUCGGGAAUUUUGGGCAAUGGGCGAAAGCCUGACCCAGCAACGCCGCGUGAAGGAUGAAGUAUUUCGGUAUGUAAACUUCGAAAGAAUAGAAGAAUCAAUGACGGUACUAUUUAUAAGGU